AGAGUUUGAUCAUGGCUCAGAACGAACGCUGGCGGCGUGGAUAAGACAUGCAAGUCGAGCGCUGAUUACAGGGUAGCAAUAUUCUGUAGUCGGAGCGGCGCAAGGGUGCGUAACACGUGGGUAAUCUGCCAUGAAGUUUGGGAUAACUUGCUGAAAGGCGAGCUAAUACCGGAUGUGAAAAUUGGGAGGCAUCUUCUGAUUUUCAAAGCUGGGGACCGUAAGGCCUGGCGCUUCAUGAUGAGCCCGCGGCCUAUCAGCUAGUUGGUAAGGUAACGGCUUACCAAGGCUAAGACGGGUAGCUGGUCUGAGAGGACGACCAGCCACACUGGAACUGAGACACGGUCCAGACACCUACGGGUGGCAGCAGUCGAGAAUUUUUCACAAUGGGCGCAAGCCUGAUGGAGCGACGCCGCGUGGGGGAUGAAUGGCUUCGGCCCGUAAACCCCUGUCAUUUGCGAUCAAACCUUGUUAUUUAAAAGAUGACGAGCUGAUAGUAGCGAAAGAGGAAGGGACGGCUAACUCUGUGCCAGCAGCCGCGGUAAUACAGAGGUCCCAAGCGUUGUUCGGAUUCACUGGGCGUAAAGGGUGCGUAGGUGGCGAGGUAAGUCGGAUGUGAAAGCUCGGAGCUCAACUCCGAAAUGGCAUUGGAAACUACCUUGCUCGAGGGUCGGAGGGGGGACUGGAAUACUUGGUGUAGCAGUGAAAUGCGUAGAUAUCAAGUGGAACACCAGUGGCGAAGGCGAGUCCCUGGACGACUCCUGACACUGAGGCACGAAAGCUAGGGGAGCAAACAGGAUUAGAUACCCUGGUAGUCC
rnacentral:rRNA from 1 species